AGUGAACGCUGGCGGUAGGCCUAACGCAUGCAAGUCGAACGGCAGCACAGGAGAGCUUGCUCUCUGGGUGGCGAGUGGCGGACGGGUGAGGAAUACAUCGGAAUCUACUCUGUCGUGGGGGAUAACGUAGGGAAACUUACGCUAAUACCGCAUAAGACCUACGGGUGAAAGCAGGGGACCUUCGGGCCUUGCGCGAAUGAAUGAGCCGAUGUCGGAUUAGCUAGUUGGCGGGGUAAAGGCCCACCAAGGCGACGAUCCGUAGCUGGUCUGAGAGGAUGAUCAGCCACACUGGAACUGAGACACGGUCCAGACUCCUACGGGAGGCAGCAGUGGGGAAUAUUGGACAAUGGGCGCAAGCCUGAUCCAGCCAUACCGCGUGGGUGAAGAAGGCCUUCGGGUUGUAAAGCCCUUUUGUUGGGAAAGAAAUCCAGCUGGCUAAUACCCGGUUGGGAUGACGGUACCCAAAGAAUAAGCACCGGCUAACUUCGUGCCAGCCGCCGCAGUAA
rnacentral:rRNA from 1 species